CCUACGGGAGGCAGCAGUGAGGAAUAUUGGUCAAUGGACGAGAGUCUGAACCAGCCAAGCAGCGUGAAGGAUGACUGCUCUAUGGGUUGUAAACUUCUUUUAUAUGGGAAUAAAAUGUUCCACGUGUGGGAUUUUGUAUGUACCAUAUGAAUAAGGAUCGGCUAACUCCGUGCCAGCAGCCGCGGUAAUACGGAGGAUCCGAGCGUUAUCCGGAUUUAUUGGGUUUAAAGGGAGCGUAGGGGGAUUGUUAAGUCAGUUGUGAAAGUUUGCGGCUCAACCGUAAAAUUGCAGUUGAAACUGGCAGUCUUGAGUGCAGUAGAGGUAGGCGGAAUUCGUGGUGUAGCGGUGAAAUGCUUAGAUAUCACGAAGAACUCCGAUUGCGAAGGCAGUUCACUGGACUGCAACUGACACUGAGGCUCGAAAGUGUGGGUAUCAAACAGGAUUAGAUACCCGAGUAGUC
rnacentral:rRNA from 1 species